AUUGAACGCUGGCGGCAGGCCUAACACAUGCAAGUCGAGCGGUAGCACAGAGAGCUUGCUCUCGGGUGACGAGCGGCGGACGGGUGAGUAAUGUCUGGGAAACUGCCUGAUGGAGGGGGAUAACUACUGGAAACGGUAGCUAAUACCGCAUAAUGUCGCAAGACCAAAGUGGGGGACCUUCGGGCCUCAUGCCAUCAGAUGUGCCCAGAUGGGAUUAGCUAGUAGGUGGGGUAAUGGCUCACCUAGGCGACGAUCCCUAGCUGGUCUGAGAGGAUGACCAGCCACACUGGAACUGAGACACGGUCCAGACUCCUACGGGAGGCAGCAGUGGGGAAUAUUGCACAAUGGGCGCAAGCCUGAUGCAGCCAUGCUGCGUGUGUGAAGAAGGCCUUCGGGUUGUAAAGCACUUUCAGCGGGGAGGAAGGCGAUAAGGUUAAUAACCUUGUCGAUUGACGUUACCCGCAGAAGAGGCACCGGCUAACUCCGUGCCAGCAGCCGCGGUAAUACGGAGGGUGCAAGCGUUAAUCGGAAUUACUGGGCGUAAAGCGCACGCAGGCGGUCUGUCAAGUCGGAUGUGAAAUCCCCGGGCUCAACCUGGGAACUGCAUUCGAAACUGGCAGGCUAGAGUCUUGUAGAGGGGGGUGGAAUUCCAGGUGUAGCGGUGAAAUGCGUAGAGAUCUGGAGGAAUACCGGUGGCGAAGGCGGCCCCCUGGACAAAGACUGACGCUCAGGUGCGAAAGCGUGGGGAGCAAACAGGAUUAGAUACCCUGGUAGUCCACGCCGUAAACGAUGUCGAUUUGGAGGUUGUGCCCUUGAGGCGUGGCUUCCGGAGCUAACGCGUUAAAUCGACCGUCUGGGGAGUACGGCCGCAAGGUUAAAACUCAAAUGAAUUGACGGGGGCCCGCACAAGCGGUGGAGCAUGUGGUUUAAUUCGAUGCAACGCGAAGAACCUUACCUGGUCUUGACAUCCACAGAACUUUCCAGAGAUGGAUUGGUGCCUUCGGGAACUGUGAGACAGGUGCUGCAUGGCUGUCGUCAGCUCGUGUUGUGAAAUGUUGGGUUAAGUCCCGCAACGAGCGCAACCCUUAUCCUUUGUUGCCAGCGGUUAGGCCGGGAACUCAAAGGAGACUGCCAGUGAUAAACUGGAGGAAGGUGGGGAUGACGUCAAGUCAUCAUGGCCCUUACGACCAGGGCUACACACGUGCUACAAUGGCAUAUACAAAGAGAAGCGACCUCGCGAGAGCAAGCGGACCUCAUAAAGUAUGUCGUAGUCCGGAUUGGAGUCUGCAACUCGACUCCAUGAAGUCGGAAUCGCUAGUAAUCGUAGAUCAGAAUGCUACGGUGAAUACGUUCCCGGGCCUUGUACACACCGCCCGUCACACCAUGGGAGUGGGUUGCAAAAGAAGUAGGUAGCUUAACCUUCGGGAGGGCGCUUACCACUUUGUGAUUCAUGACUGGGGUGA
rnacentral:rRNA from 1 species